rnacentral:rRNA from 1 species
GAAAGACCCCGUGAACCUUUACUAUAGCUUGACACUGAACAUUGAGCCUUGAUGUGUAGGAUAGGUGGGAGGCUUUGAAGUGUGGACGCCAGUCUGCAUGGAGCCGACCUUGAAAUACCACCCUUUAAUGUUUGAUGUUCUAACGUUGACCCGUAAUCCGGGUUGCGGACAGUGUCUGGUGGGUAGUUUGACUGGGGCGGUCUCCUCCUAAAGAGUAACGGAGGAGCACGAAGGUUGGCUAAUCCUGGUCGGACAUCAGGAGGUUAGUGCAAUGGCAUAAGCCAGCUUGACUGCGAGCGUGACGGCGCGAGCAGGUGCGAAAGCAGGUCAUAGUGAUCCGGUGGUUCUGAAUGGAAGGGCCAUCGCUCAACGGAUAAAAGGUACUCCGGGGAUAACAGGCUGAUACCGCCCAAGAGUUCAUAUCGACGGCGGUGUUUGGCACCUCGAUGUCGGCUCAUCACAUCCUGGGGCUGAAGUAGGUCCCAAGGGUAUGGCUGUUCGCCAUUUAAAGUGGUACGCGAGCUGGGUUUAGAACGUCGUGAGACAGUUCGGUCCCUAUCUGCCGUGGGCGCUGGAGAACUGAGGGGGGCUGCUCCUAGUACGAGAGGACCGGAGUGGACGCAUCACUGGUGUUCGGGUUGUCAUGCCAAUGGCACUGCCCGGUAGCUAAAUGCGGAAGAGAUAAGUGCUGAAAGCAUCUAAGCACGAAACUUGCCCCGAGAUGAGUUCUCCCUGACUCCUUGAGAGUCCUGAAGGAACGUUGAAG